rnacentral:rRNA from 1 species
UACGUAGGGUGCGAGCGUUGUCCGGAAUUAUUGGGCGUAAAGAGCUUGUAGGCGGUUUGUCGCGUCUGCCGUGAAAGCCCAGGGCUUAACCCUGGGUCUGCGGUGGGUACGGGCAGACUAGAGUGUGGUAGGGGAGACUGGAAUUCCUGGUGUAGCGGUGAAAUGCGCAGAUAUCAGGAGGAACACCGAUGGCGAAGGCAGGUCUCUGGGCCACUACUGACGCUGAGAAGCGAAAGCAUGGGGAGCAAGCAGG